rnacentral:sRNA from 2 species
CUCCACAUAACCCCUAACAUUCUUCUGCUCUGUGCUCCACUGCAGUGUGACCCCUGAUAUUCUUCUGUUCUGAUCCUCCUUCUAUAAGAACCCCCUUGUAUGACCCCUUCUUCUGAUCUUCUUUCUCUUUCUUUCCUUAAUUGAUUUGUAAACUGUUAUCAGGAUAGUGUCAAGUCUGUUGAUAUUGCUGUUGGAAUGGAUUGUAUGAACUGCGCAGGUGGUACAAACAGUUUAAUCUGCAACAUUGAUAACAUCUGCUUAAUUGGUGGCAUGUCUGUUAUAUUACAAAUCAAUUCAUCUGUGUUGGCCUGAGUGCUCUGUGUUUAUGAUUGCACCUAGGUGCCCAAGUUAAGUUUAAGAAUAAGUUACCCAAGUUCUACAAAGCUGCACCACUGUGAUAGUGCUGUGAAGAAGUCUGAGUGCUUAGAAGUCCACAACU